UACGUAGGUGGCAAGCGUUGUCCGGAUUUAUUGGGCGUAAAGCGCGCGCAGGCGGUCUUUUAAGUCUGAUGUGAAAUCUCGUGGCUCAACCACGAGCGGUCAUUGGAAACUGGGAGACUUGAGUACAGAAGAGGAGAGUGGAAUUCCACGUGUAGCGGUGAAAUGCGUAGAUAUGUGGAGGAACACCAGUGGCGAAGGCGACUCUCUGGUCUGUAACUGACGCUGAGGCGCGAAAGCGUGGGGAGCGAACAGG
rnacentral:rRNA from 1 species